CUUAAAGAUACUGAUCUCAUUGAAAACACUUCUUAAAGAUACUGAUCUCAUUGAAAACACUUCUUAAAGAUACUGAUCUCAUUGAAAACAUCACAUCGUUAAAGAUAUGUUUUGCAAGAAAAGACUUGGGUCAGGUGGCUUUCCACAAGCUUCCUACAAUAAGUUGGGUGAAUUGUGGCCCAUUCCUCCUGACAGAGCUGGUGUAACUGAGUCAGGUUUGUAGGCCUCCUCGCUCGCACACACUUUUUCAGUUCUGUCCACAAAUGUUCUAUAGGAUUGAGGUCAGGGCUUUGUUGUCUUGACUUUGUUGUCCUUAUUAAGCCAUUAAGCCAUUUUGCCACAUCUUUGGAAGUAUGCUUGGGGUCAUUGUCCAUUUGGAAGACCCAUUUGCGACAAAGCUUUAACUUCCUGACUGAUGUCUUGAUGUUUCUUCAAUAUAUCCACAUCAUUUUCCUACCUCAUGAUGCCAUCUAUUUUGUGAAGUGCAUCAGUCCCUCCUGCAGCAAAGCACCCCCACAACAUGAUGCUGCCACCCCCGUGCUUCACGGUUGGAAUGGUGUUCUUCGGUUUGCAAGCCUCCCCCGUUUUCCUCCAAACAUAACGAUGGUCAUUAUGGCCAAACAGUUUCAUCAGACCAGAGGACAUUUCACCAAAAAGUACAAUCUUUGUCCCCAUGUCCAGUUGCAAACCGUAGUCUGGCUUUUUUAUGGCGGUUUUGGAACAGUGGCUUCUUCCUUGCUGAGCGGCCUUUCAGGUAAUAUAGGACUCGGUUGAUAUAGGACUUGUUUUACUGUGGAUAUAGAUACUUUUGUACCUGUUUCCUCCAGCAUCUUCAUAAGGUCCAUUGCUGUUGUUCUGGGAUUGAUUUGCACUUUUUGCACCAAAGUACGUUCAGCUCUAGGAGACAGGACUGAUCUCCUUCCUGAGCAGUAUGAUGGCUGCGUGGUCCCAUGGUGUUUAUGCUUGCGUACUAUUGUUUGUACAGAUGAACGUGGUACCUUCAGGCGUUUGGAAAUUGCUCCCAAGGAUGAACCAAUUUUUUUUCUGAGGACUUGGCUGAUUUCUUUUGAUUUUCCCAUGAUGUCAAGCAAAGAGGCACUGAGUUUGAAGCCUACCCCAGCCAAACCCUGCCCUGACCUGGGCCAAUUGUGUGCCGCCUAAUGGGACUCCUGAUCAUGGCCGAUUGUGAUACAGCCCGGGAUCGAACCAGGAACUAGAGACGCCUCUAGCACUGAGAUGCAGUGCAUUAGACCGCUGCGCCACUCGGGACUCAAUAUAUGCACCUAUUAACACAUGCUUCUGUUUGUACAUUUCCAUUUAACAUUUAACUCUUUAAU
ensembl:lncRNA